GGUUACACUGCUCUAUUGGGUUCCAAGGGCUCUCAUGAGUGUAAUAUCCAUAGUAGGUACCACAUAUUGCGGUAAGUUACAGCUUCUGAGUGACCCGGGACACGGUCUACCGCACAUUGCAGGGCAAACGACUCCAUUUACCACGGAAUUGAAGUCCGGAGAAGAUCUUGAGAGAAGAUGUUCUUGCAAGGAAGAAGAGGAUGAGAAAGCGGUGUUCCGGUGAAGAGGAAGAGGAGAAGAGACGGAGCACCACCGAACCCCAGCCAGUCAAAUAACAUGUAAAGAAAAAAUCGUGUGACGUAAUUAAGAGAAACACCCGACACGACAUAGAGAUCAAGUUGUUCGCGGUUUUUCCCCCGCCAACAGGUAAAAUGUAAGACGUGCAUGCCACGCCGAUUUCCAACAAAGGCAAGCCAUUCACUGCAACAGCCAAUGGACAGUCCAAUAAGAAGCUAAACUAUUUCUUGAUGUAAUACUCACUGAUAUUACAAUAUAAAGGAAAGCAAGGCGGUAUAUAAGUAAAGGUCGGUAAAAUCACACAUCGUGACCACAGGGAGUGGUCAAUGACCUCCAGCACAUCAAUAGAGAUGGCCCAGGUUGAUGAAACACUGUGACUACGCCAACAUUGUAAUAUAAACGCCCACCGUCGGAAUAAAACCGAAGUUAAAAGGGAUAUAAACCAUCUGCACGUAACGGUGGGUGGUGUCGCCAUUUAAGAAGUGGUCACCUCACUAGAGAUAGCUCAACACGAAAGUGGACACAGCAUCGGUCAGCAGCGCGUUACACGCAACAACAGGCCCAAGUACCAAUAGGUCAAAAUGGAGUUCCUGUAAUAAACAACGUUUAAUGCCAGUCUAAAAUAUAGACCUGACCAUUAUUACCUGUGGGACAGACAUAUGAUACUCUCGAGGUCUAUACUUAUUUCAUUAUUUGACCACCAGAGACGCGUGCUAUCAGCGCGUUCAUCGGGUACCUGCCACAGCCGCCAGAGAUAUUAUCAACAUCACAGAGGAAGGAGUUAGAUGAAAACACGUCUCUCUCGUGCUGCGUGGAUUGUCCACAUCAAGUUUGCACCUUGGGAGUGGAAAGGGGCUCAUAAACCCGCACACCAAAGCGCCAAACUGCGGGCCUUGAGUCAAGAUAGGAUUUAAGCUACUAAAGUCAAGUGUGUAUACCCGUAUAUAUAUAUAACCAAGUUCUAGGUAUAACAUGGGUAACUCGGCGAAUAAAGAAGCGUUGUUGCAAGAAGACAGGACGCCGUACAAGAACCUUGACGAUGAAAGCAAAGAGGACAAGAAGAGAAUAAGCAGCACAAAACAUAAAUCCAUGGAGAUGGAACUCUUGGGCAAUGGCAGCAC